UACGGGGGGAGCAAGCGUUGUUCGGAUUUACUGGGCGUAAAGGGCGCGUAGGCGGAUAUUUAAGUCAGGGGUGAAAUCCCGGGGCUCAACCCCGGAACUGCCUUUGAUACUGGGUAUCUGGAGGUCGAGAGAGGCGAGUGGAAUUCCGAGUGUAGAGGUGAAAUUCGUAGAUAUUCGGAGGAACACCAGUGGCGAAGGCGGCUCGCUGGCUCGAUACUGACGCUGAGGUGCGAAAGCGUGGGGAGCAAACAGG
rnacentral:rRNA from 1 species